UACGAAGGGUGCAAGCGUUACUCGGAAUUACUGGGCGUAAAGCGUGCGUAGGCGGUUUGUUAAGUCCGUUGUGAAAGCCCUGGGCUCAACCUGGGAAUUGCAGUGGAUACUGGCGAGCUAGAGUGCGGUAGAGGAUGGUGGAAUUCCCGGUGUAGCGGUGAAAUGCGUAGAGAUCGGGAGGAACACCCGUGGCGAAGGCGGCCAUCUGGACCAGCACUGACGCUGAGGCACGAAAGCGUGGGGAGCAAACAGGA
rnacentral:rRNA from 1 species